AGCAUAUCAAUAAGCGGAGGAAAAGAAACCAACAGGGAUUGCCCCAGUAACGGCGAGUGAAGCGGCAAUAGCUCAAAUUUGAAAUCUGGCUCUUUCAGGGUCCGAGUUGUAAUUUGCAGAGGGCGCUUUGGUGUCGGCAGCAGCCUAAGUUCCUUGGAACAGGUCAUCAUAGAGGGUGAGAAUCCCGUAUGUGGCUGCUUGUCGUCUCCGUGUAAAGCCCCUUCGAUGAGUCGAGUUGUUUGGGAAUGCAGCUCUAAAUGGGAGGUAAAUUUCUUCUAAAGCUAAAUAUUGGCCAGAGACCGAUAGCGCACAAGUAGAGUGAUCGAAAGAUGAAAAGCACUUUGGAAAGAGAGUCAAAAAGCACGUGAAAUUGUUGAAAGGGAAGCGCUUGCAGCCAGACGUGCCCGUAGUUGCUCAUCCGGAGUUUUCUCCGGUGCACUCUUCUAUGGGCAGGCCAGCAUCAGUUCGGGCGGUUGGAGAAAGACCUGUGUCAUGUAGCUCUCUUCGGGGAGUGUUAUAGGGCAGGUGGAAUGCAACCAGCCCGAACUGAGGUCCGCGCAUCUGCUAGGAUGCUGGCGUAAUGGCUGUAAGCGGCCCGUCUUGAAACACGGACCAAGGAGUCUAACAUCUAUGCGAGUGUUUGGGUGUCAAGCCCGAGCGCGUAAUGAAAGUGAACGGAGGUGGGAACCCCUUGGGGUGCACCAUCGACCGAUCCUGAUGUCUUCGGAUGGAUUUGAGUAAGAGCAUAGCUGUUGGGACCCGAAAGAUGGUGAACUAUGCCUGAAUAGGGUGAAGCCAGAGGAAACUCUGGUGGAGGCUCGCAGCGGUUCUGACGUGCAAAUCGAUCGUCAAAUUUGGGCAUAGGGGCGAAAGACUAAUCG
rnacentral:rRNA from 1 species